rnacentral:rRNA from 1 species
UACGUAGGGGGCUAGCGUUGUCCGGAUUUAUUGGGCGUAAAGAGCGUGUAGGCGGCCAGGUAGGUCUGCUGUGAAAACUCGAGGCUCAACCUCGAGACGUCGGCGGAAACCAUCUGGCUAGAGUCCGGAAGAGGAGAGUGGAAUUCCUGGUGUAGCGGUGAAAUGCGCAGAUAUCAGGAGGAACACCGGUGGCCAAGGCGGUUCUCUGGGCCUGUACUGACGCUGAGGAACGAAAGCGUGGGGAGCGAACAGG